UACGAAGGGGGCUAGCGUUGUUCGGAAUUACUGGGCGUAAAGCGCACGUAGGCGGCGCAGCAAGUUGGGGGUGAAAUCCCGAGGCUCAACCUCGGAAUUGCCUUCAAAACUGCUGUGCUCGAGUUCGGAAGAGGUGAGUGGAAUUCCCAGUGUAGAGGUGAAAUUCGUAGAGAUUGGGAAGAACACCAGUGGCGAAGGCGGCUCACUGGUCCGCAACUGACGCUGAGACGCGAAAGCGUGGGGAGCAAACGGG
rnacentral:rRNA from 1 species